CAGCAGCCGCGGGAAAACAGAGGGUGCAAGCGUUAAUCGGAAUUACUGGGCGUAAAGCGCGCGUAGGUGGUUUGUUAAGUUGGAUGUGAAAUCCCCGGGCUCAACCUGGGAACUGCAUCCAAAACUGGCAAGCUAGAGUAUGGUAGAGGGUGGUGGAAUUUCCUGUGUAGCGGUGAAAUGCGUAGAUAUAGGAAGGAACACCAGUGGCGAAGGCGACCACCUGGACUGAUACUGACACUGAGGUGCGAAAGCGUGGGGAGCAAACAGGAUUAGAUACCCGUGUAGUCCCUGUCUCUUAUAA
rnacentral:rRNA from 1 species